GAUGGAGUUGUAGUGGUGCCGGGUGGAGGGGGUGAGAGAUUGGCUAUAAGGAGAAGGCUGACGGCUGCAGCAUGAAGCGCAUUAUUACCUUGUGAUUCCAUGACCCUCCUCUAUGCAUCCCUAACUCUCGAAAGCUGAUUCAGCUUUCAGCUAGUGCUCUGUUCUUUGGGCUGGUGGCCUUUCUGGAAGAAGAGACACUUGGACUGGAUGGGCAGGAACAGGCACUGGAGAGCAUGAAGCAGCACAGAAAUCCUUCAGCAUCCAUCCCCAUCCCUGGCCGAAGGAAGAAAAUGAAGAUGCUGAGACGAGAGCUAAUGAACACACCAAGGGACGUGAGGAGAAGAACAUUAAUUGCCUGUACAGCAGUGCGGCGAGUCUGAGCGAUAAAAAAAGGUGGGAACGACUAAUUUAUGAGUGCAAAUUCUGUCUGGACAGCAUGACUUAAACUUGGGGAGAAAAUCCAUGUGCCUGGAAUAUUAAAAUCAAUAGUUGUAACCUAUUUAGAAAGAACUGAGUGGGCAAAGAAGGUGCAGGAGGGACAAUCAAUAUCAGACGUGACAUUGCUGCGUUCCAAGCACCACUAGAAACUUAAGAGAAAGUGACCUCCAAUACAAAUAAAAGCCGAAAGAAGAUGCUUCUUCAGACCAUCAAAUCUCGCUGACUCCUUAGUCACAUAUCUAUAUAAUAUUUAAGAAAAUUUCCCUAUGCUGUCCUGGGGAACCUCAACUUGAAUUAUGUGAGCUGGAGGGCUCACGCUGCUGGGUUUUGGAAUUUCUAAAUGUCAUAGAAGAGCAUUUCCUAACCAAAACCAGGAGGAUCCUCUGCAGGAUCAUCUUGACAGCUGGCGAACCGAUUAGAGAUCCAAAAACUAGCUACAGCCGGCACAGAGGUGACCCUGUUUCAAUUGUACAUGCUGGGCACAGACAGAAGAAAGCCUGAGCCAACAGUAGGUCCCUUUGCUUUUCGGCGUUGUAAGCCAGGUCACCUGGAGGAUUUUAAACAGAAGAUGUGAAUGAUAUUUGGCAACCCUUUGUUUAAAAGCACUCUGGCUUCUAGGGAAUCUAGUAAAGUCUCAGCGUGGAGAAAGAAGAGGUUAUUCUGGUUAAAAACAGAAGCUCAAAGGGGAGUGAGAGUAGGUCUACAUUCACUCAAAGGAAGGAAGGGAAAGUGGGUAAUGAGGAACGUAAACCAUCCCCAAGCAGAAGGCUGUCAGGUCAAACCUAUGGCUAGCAGAGCUGAGGGCAAUAGGGAAGUGCUCUUUAGAUAUGAGAGACUAAAAGUAGUUGUCUAGACAGAAUAGCAGACAUUAAAAAAAGAAUGCAUAAAAGGCAGACGCUAAAUAUUUAAUCUCUCUAUUUUGGGGGAAAAAAGCUAAGUGGAGUAGCAAUGUAAUAUGAUGAUGUGAAAUAUCUUCAGUUCCAACUCAGGAUGUUAAACAGCUGCUACUACAGCUACAGGAUUUUUUUGAUCAGCAGUCCUCAAUCUUCAGUGCCUGAGAGUUUUAAAAUCUGUCCCAGGAGCACCCCGGGCCGGCAGCGUCUGCGAGGCGAGGAGUUUUCCAGAAGACCGAAGCAGCGCUGACUUUGUGCCAAUGCAUAAGUGUCGAUGAGGGGGAUGACUUGCAUAAUUAUAAAUCUGAUUGUCUGAUGUUGAUUUUGUGAAAAAUAAUGGAAGAGCUGAUAAGGGACUUGAUUAAUAACAAUUUAAGGAGAAUAAUUAAUUACAAUCAACAUGAGUUAAUGGAAAAUAGAUCUUAUUAAAUGAAAUUGAUAUAAUUUUUCAAGAAUGUGAUUAUAGAUUUGAUUGAUUUAGUACAUUUCAUCAACACUGUUACGUUUGACUUCUGCGAGGCAUUUGACUUAAUGUUGUCUCAUUUAUGAGGAAGCUAAAACAAUGUAAAAUCAACACGGCAUGGGCUAAGUGGAUGCAAACCCCACUGAUAUGUUCAAACAUAUCAGAGAAUCAUCCCAAGUGGCUGUGUUUCCAUUCAUCAUUUUUAGCAAAUGGUAGAAAAUCAAAACUCAUUACAAUCAAAGUUUGCUGAUGAGACUGGGAGUAGGACCACGGUCAGUACGUGGGUCGGUCUCUUCCUCAGAUCUGCAUCUUUCGUGAACCAGAUAUAAGCAAACACCAGCCAGUUUAACGUGGGCACACAUGAAGCCACACUUCGAGGAACCAGGAUUUCACCGGGGGGAGGAGGGAUCCUAUUACACAACGCUGGAAACUUGAAAAAAUAGCGGAGUGAAAUAUCUCCGGUGUAACAUCUACUGGGACACUGCAGCUAUUUCUGGUGUCUGCGACUCAAGAAGGAUGGUGAUGAAUGGGAGAGGGCACAUGAGAAUGACUGAAGCGUUGCAAAACAUGCCUUAUAGUGACAGAUUCAAGGACCCCAAUACGCUUAGCUUAACAAAGAGAAGGUUAAGGGAUGGCUUAAUGACAAUCCAGAUGUAUUCAGACAGGGUACAGAAACGCAGAAAGGAAGAGCUCUUCAAUCUAAUAGACAGAGCUAUAAAAAGAGCCAGUGACUGGAAGCUGACACUGUUAAAUUCAGACUGGGAAGGGUGUGCUUUUUAAAUUGGGAGAAGUGACAUCAGAACAACUUCCCAACAGAUGGUUUCAUCAUCACCGGCCAUUUCAAAAUCAUGCUGGGUUUUUUUUUGUUUUAAGCCAUAUCCUGGAUCCACCAACGAUCACUGUGAAUUGACAUACAGACACCCACACCGCAUGGAUGGGGUGGUCCUUCUUUGGUUUUAUACUGUUUCUAAUAAUGAGUAUUUAAGUCAUCAUCCCCGAGCACUGAGUGGGACAAUUCCCUUUUCUCGGAGUUAUUGGUCUGGCCUUGGCAGAGACUCACGCAGACACCUCAGUGUUAUUAGUACUUCAUCUUUGCUAGUGGAAAGGCUGGAAAAGUACUAUAAAACCAAAUAAAAUAAACACAGCCUACAUCCCUCUGCUAUAAAUACCCCAAAAUGCAGUGCCAAAGAGACCAGCUCAAAGCAAGUACAUGAAGGACCUGCAUUCCAGUGGUCCAGUUAAAUCCUGCUGAUCCCCAUCUGCUGCUUUAGUUUGAUAGACUUUUCAGGGAAGUGACACAUCCAUAUUCCUUAAAAGUUGCUAAAACUGUGAGUAAAAAUGUGUAGUUUGAUAACACACUCAUCUACGCCCAGGAAAUCACAGAAUGAGAGUGCGCCACGAUCAUGCACAGCGGGGCUUUCUGCAGGAGCAAUGCCACGUCUCUGCUUUCUGGUUUGGGAGCUGCUGAAAUUUCUCCUUUCAUGGAAAUUCUUCAGCAGGAGCCCUGGCCGCAGACCCCUCACUCGGGCAGCUCCAGGAGCCACCCACUGACUUCUCCUGGGACUGGUCUGCAAGCCCCAGCUGACAUCUUACUGUGCAUCCAGAUGCACUGGGGACCAAAGAGUUAUAUUUCCCAAGUAACAAGCGA